CCUACGGGAGGCAGCAGUGGGGAAUCUUGCGCAAUGGGCGAAAGCCUGACGCAGCAACGCCGCGUGCGGGAAGAAGGCUUUCGGGCUGUAAACCGCUUUCAGCAGGAACGAAAAUGACGGUACCUGCAGAAGAAGGAGCGGCCAACUAUGUGCCAGCAGCCGCGGUGAUACAUAGGCUUCAAGCGUUGUCCGGAUUUAUUGGGCGUAAAGAGUUCGUAGGCGGUCGAGUAAGUCGGGUGUGAAAAUUCUGGGCUCAACCCAGAGACGCCACCCGAUACUGCUUAACUUGAGUUCGAUAGGGGAGUGGGGAAUUCCUAGUGUAGCGGUGAAAUGCGCAGAUAUUAGGAGGAACACCGGUGGCGAAGGCGCCACUCUGGAUCGAUACUGACGCUGAGGAACGAAAGCAUGGGUAGCAAACAGGAUUAGAUACCCUGGUAGUCCAUGCCGUAAACGGUGGGCACUAGGUGUGGGAUUCUAUUAACGAAUUCCGCGCCGUCGCUAACGCAUUAAGUGCCCCGCCUGGGGAGUACGGUCGCAAGCUAAAACUUAAAGGAAUUGACGGCUGAGAGNGCGAGCGACGACGAGGAGAG
rnacentral:rRNA from 1 species